rnacentral:ribozyme from 1 species
AUAUGGUACAGGUAUGGUUGGUGGUGAUAUUGUUAUUGAUGAACUCGGAGUGGCUGGGAUGACUGUUAAAUCUCAAGGGUUUG